UGUAAACCUCUUUUCUCAAGGAAGAAGAUCUGACGGUACUUGAGGAAUAAGCCACGGCUAAUUCCGUGCCAGCAGCCGCGGUAAUACGGGAGUGGCAAGCGUUAUCCGGAAUUAUUGGGCGUAAAGCGUCCGCAGGCGGCCUUUUAAGUCUGUUGUCAAAGCGUGGAGCUUAACUCCAUUUCGGCAAUGGAAACUGGGAGGCUUGAGUGUGGUAGGGGCAGAGGGAAUUCCCGGUGUAGCGGUGAAAUGCGUAGAUAUCGGGAAGAACACCAGUGGCGAAGGCGCUCUGCUGGGCCAUAACUGACGCUCAUGGACGAAAGCCAGGGGAGCGAAAGGGAUUAGAUACCCCUGUAGUCCUGGCCGUAAACGAUGAACACUAGGUGUCGGGGGAAUCGACCCCCUCGGUGUCGUAGCCAACGCGUUAAGUGUUCCGCCUGGGGAGUACGCACGCAAGUGUGAAACUCAAAGGAAUUGACGGGGGCCCGCACAAGCGGUGGAGUAUGUGGUUUAAUUCGAUGCAACGCGAAGAACCUUACCAGGGUUUGACAUCCUGCGAACCCCUUGGAAACGAGGGGGUGCCUUCGGGAGCGCAGAGACAGGUGGUGCAUGGCUGUCGUCAGCUCGUGUCGUGAGAUGUUGGGUUAAGUCCCGCAACGAGCGCAACCCACGUCUUUAGUUGCCAGCAUUCAGUUGGGCACUCUAGAGAGACCGCCGGUGAUAAACCGGAGGAAGGUGUGGAUGACGUCAAGUCAUCAUGCCCCUUACAUCCUGGGCUACACACGUACUACAAUGCUACGGACAAAGGGCAGCAAACUCGCGAGAGCUAGCAAAUCCCAUAAACCGUGGCUCAGUUCAGAUCGUAGGCUGCAACUCGCCUACGUGAAGGAGGAAUCGCUAGUAAUCGCAGGUCAGCAUACUGCGGUGAAUACGUUCCCGGGCCUUGUACACACCGCCCGUCACACCAUGGAAGUUGGCCACGCCCGAAGCCGUUACUCCAACCCUUGUGGAGGAGGACGUCGAAGGUGGGGCUGAUGACUGGGGUGAAGUCGUAACAAGGUAGCCGUACCGGAAGGUGCGGCUGGAUCACCUCCUAACAGGGAGACAAACCUGAUCAUGAUGUCUGAGUAUUUUAAUCUCAGGCCAUGGUCCUGUCACCUUAGGUCGAUCGGUACCUCAUCAAGAGCCUAGCGAGCCUGAGCGAUCAGGUGAGGCGAAGGUUGUUGAAUCAGUUUCUAAACUUUGUCUAGGUCACCCCAUAAGGGUAAAGCUCCUGGGCCAUUAGCUCAGGUGGUUAGAGCGCACCCCUGAUAAGGGUGAGGUCCCUGGUUCAAGUCCAGGAUGGCCCAUGCAUGGCCUGUGUAGCAGGCAGGACUUGACGGCUGGGGGUUUAGCUCAGUUGGUAGAGCGCCUGCUUUGCAAGCAGGAUGUCAGCGGUUCGAGUCCGCUAACCUCCAUCGCAACGCUAAUCCUAAAGCACGUGCAGCAGGAGAGCCCAUGGGGGGUGACGAAGGACAGGAUGAAAGGAGAGCUGAGGAUGACUCCAGCCUUCAGGAGCAUAGAGAUGUGUUGUUGAAUGCUGGACUCACACCCGUGAGGGUGAGAUGUUCAGCGAGGAACCUUGACAACUGCAUAGGAUAGUUUGGAAAAGCAUCUCAUGGAUGCCAGGCUUGACUUUGAUUUGCUGAUGCAAGUCAAGGGGAGACUGGAAAAUUCUAUGACGACAUGAGCCAAACACGAUCCAAGAGCUGAUUAAAGCAAUCCCUUGCCUCGCGGCAAGGGAGAGUUGUGAUCAGAU
rnacentral:sRNA from 1 species